rnacentral:rRNA from 2 species
AACGUAGGUCACAAGCGUUGUCCGGAAUUACUGGGUGUAAAGGGAGCGCAGGCGGGAAGACAAGUUGGGAGUGAAAUCUAUGGGCUCAACCCAUAAACUGCUUUCAAAACUGUUUUUCUUGAGUAGUGCAGAGGUAGGCGGAAUUCCCGGUGUAGCGGUGGAAUGCGUAGAUAUCGGGAGGAACACCAGUGGCGAAGGCGGCCUACUGGGCACCAACUGACGCUGAGGCUCGAAAGUGUGGGUAGCAAACAGG